CCUACGGGGUGCAGCAGUAGGGAAUCUUCCACAAUGGGCGAAAGCCUGAUGCAGCAACGCCGCGUGGGUGAAGAAGGUCUUCGGAUCGUAAAACCCUGUUGUUAGAGAAGAAAGUGCGUGAGAGUAACUGUUCACGUUUCGACGGUAUCUAACCAGAAAGCCACGGCUAACUACGUGCCAGCAGCCGCGGUAAUACGUAGGUGGCAAGCGUUAUCCGGAUUUAUUGGGCGUAAAGGGAACGCAGGCGGUCUUUUAAGUCUGAUGUGAAAGCCUUCGGCUUAACCGGAGUAGUGCAUUGGAAACUGGGAGACUUGAGUGCAGAAGAGGAGAGUGGAACUCCAUGUGUAGCGGUGAAAUGCGUAGAUAUAUGGAAGAACACCAGUGGCGAAAGCGGCUCUCUGGUCUGUAACUGACGCUGAGGUUCGAAAGCGUGGGUAGCAAACAGGAUUAGAUACCCUUGUAGUC
rnacentral:rRNA from 1 species